UACGUAGGGUGCGAGCGUUAAUCGGAAUUACUGGGCGUAAAGCGUGCGCAGGCGGUCUGUUAAGACAGAUGUGAAAUCCCCGGGCUUAACCUGGGAAUGGCGAUGGAGACUGCAAGGCUAGAGUUUGGCAGAGGGGGGUAGAAUUCCACGUGUAGCAGUGAAAUGCGUAGAGAUGUGGAGGAACACCGAUGGCGAAGGCAGCCCCCUGGGUCAAAACUGACGCUCAUGCACGAAAGCGUGGGGAGCAAACAGG
rnacentral:rRNA from 1 species